GCAGUUGGUGGACCUGGUCGCGCUGUGCCGGGUGUGACACUACGGUAGGUGUAGGUUAGGAUGUGUCUUCUGGUCGUGGUCUACUAGUUGGGGCCGAGGGAAGAAGAUGACGAUUCCAAUUUCAGUAGCCACUCUCUAGGCUUAUGAACUGAAAGACCAAGGAGCACAAUUUCCGAGUUUCAAAGAUACUUUCAAACUGAAAGGAACUGUUCGCCAGCUGCUCGCGAAGUGGCCCAUGUGACCCCUAGUGAACGGUCUAAACUUCCGCUAGAUGCUUUGGGAAUUCGUAAAGCGACUGCGUGCGCGGCAGCCAAGCCACAGCUUUACAGGGUUCGCCUUCUGUGUGGGAACGCAGCUUUUCCCGAGAAAUUGGGUUAGGGAUUAAAGAGAAGAACUGCAUCCUUUUUACUGCCCUUUUUCCACGUCUGUCCUGGGCUUAGGGCCCUCCUCAGAGGCCAGAGGGGUAGGCGAGUCCGGGGCGGUAGGGGGCUGCGUCCGGAAGUCCAGGCUGCGUUCUGUCCACCCUGCCCACCCUUAGGGGGCAGGACAGGAAUAAGGUCACCUCACCAAAGAGGCCCAUCAACAUGGAAGAAUAUUUCAGUGAAUCUUGACUCACCAAGCUCAGUGACUUUUCAUUGAAAAGGUCCUGUAGGUCAGAAGUCUGGACGUGGCAUAGUUGACGGUUUUGCUCAGUCACACAAGGUUGAAAUCAAAGGGUCUGCAAGUGGGAUCUCAUCUGAGGUUUGGGGUCCUUCU
rnacentral:lncRNA from 10 species